UACGAAGGGGGCUAGCGUUGUUCGGAUUUACUGGGCGUAAAGCGCACGUAGGCGGAUCGUUAAGUCGGGGGUGAAAUCCUGGAGCUCAACUCCAGAACUGCCUUUAAGACUGCAUCGCUUGAAUCCAGGAGAGGUGAGUGGAAUUCCGAGUGUAGAGGUGAAAUUCGUAGAUAUUCGGAAGAACACCAGUGGCGAAGGCGGCCCACUGGACUGGUAUUGACGCUGAGGUGCGAAAGCGUGGGGAGCAAACAGGG
rnacentral:rRNA from 1 species